rnacentral:rRNA from 1 species
CACACCGCCCGUCGCUACUACCGAUUGAAUGGUUCAGUGAGGCGUUCGGACUGGCCCAGGGAGGUCGGCAACGACCACCCAGGGCCGGAAAGUUCUCCAAACUCGAUCAUUUAGAGGAAGUAAAAGUCGUAACAAGGUCUCCGUUGGUGAACCAGCGGAGGGAUCAUUGACGCGUAGAAGACCCCGAAAGGGGGAUUCUGUCACACCCUUUGUCAACUUAUAAACUAUCGUUGCCUCGGCGCAAGGCCGGGGGAGGUCACACUCCCCCCCGCCCCCUCUGAGGGGGCGGAGCAGGCCCGCCGGCGGCCCUAUAAACUCUUGUUUUUACAGUGUCACCUCUGAGUAUAAACACAAAUGAAUCAAAACUUUCAACAACGGAUCUCUUGGUUCUGGCAUCGAUGAAGAACGCAGCGAAAUGCGAUAAGUAAUGUGAAUUGCAGAAUUCAGUGAAUCAUCGAAUCUUUGAACGCACAUUGCGCCCGGUGGUAUUCCACCGGGCAUGCCUGUUCGAGCGUCAUUACAACCCUCAAGCUCUGCUUGGUGUUGGGGCGCUGCCUCCCUCUAGCGGUGGCAGGCCCUUAAAUCUAGUGGCGAGCUCGCCAGGACUCCGAGCGCAGUAGUUUUACCACCUCGCUUAGGAAGGACUGGCGGUGCCCUGCCGUAAAACCCCCCACUAUAUCUAAAAGGUUGACCUCGGAUCAGGUAGGAAUACCCGCUGAACUUAAGCAUAUCAAUAAGCGGAGGAAAAGAAACCAACAGGGAUUGCCCUAGUAACGGCGAGUGAAGCGGCAACAGCUCAAAUUUGAAAUCUGGCCUCGGCCCGAGUUGUAAUUUGCAGAGGAUGCUUUUGGCGCGGUGCCUUCCGAGUUCCCUGGAACGGGACGCCACAGAGGGUGAGAGCCCCGUAUGGUUGGACACCAAGCCUGUGUAAAGCUCCUUCGACGAGUCGAGUAGUUUGGGAAUGCUGCUCAAAAUGGGAGGUAAAUCUCUUCUAAAGCUAAAUACCGGCCAGAGACCGAUAGCGCACAAGUAGAGUGAUCGAAAGAUGAAAAGCACCUUGAAAAGGGGGUUAAACAGUACGUGAAAUUGUUGAAAGGGAAGCGCUUGUGACCAGACUUGCGCCUGGCGGCUCAUCCGGGGUUCUCUCCGGUGCACUCCGCCAGGCUCAGGCCAGCAUCGGUUCUGGCGGGGGGAUAAGAUCGGCGGGAACGUAGCACCCUCCGGGGUGUGUUAUAGCCCGCCGAACGAUACCCUCGCGGGGACCGAGGUUCGCGCUCCGCAAGGAUGCUGGCGUAAUGGUCAUCAGCGACCCGUCUUGAAACACGGACCAAGGAGUCGUCCAUUAUAGCGAGCGUUUGGGUGUAAAACCCGCACGCGUAAUGAAAGUGAAAUUAGGUGAGAGCUUCGGCGCAUCAUCGACCGAUCCUGAUGUUCUCGGAAGGAUUUGAGUAAGAGUUAUAACGGACGGACCCGAAAGACAGUGAACUAUGCUUGUAUAGGGUGAAGCCAGAGGAAACUCUGGUGGAGGCUCGCAGCGGUUCUGACGUGCAAAUCGAUCGUCAAAUAUGAGCAUGGGGGCGAAAGACUAAUCGAAC